GUUGCAGUUGCAGCUGCAGGUAGAAGUGGGAGAUUAACAGGGAAAAAGCUUCGGCUUCUUGCGAAUUUGGCCUCCUCUGAUAUCAAAGUCUCAAUCUUUCUUCCUGCUCUCCUCAGCUCUCUCUUCGCCGAACGCAAGAAUUCGAAGGACUUGAGCUAGCAAGACCAUGGGGAAUAGGCCCAGGAGUCAGAAAAAGGAGAAGAGGGGCUCUAAGAGGAGGGCUAUCGAUGAAGACGUGGCCUCGGAAGACAUUGAUGACGAAAUAGAUGCCUUUCACAAACAAAGGGUUGUUGUGCCGCUGAACAUUUGUAGUUAUGCUGGGUACUC